rnacentral:miRNA from 11 species
UGAUUAAUAUUUACAUCACCUC